GCAAGCAAUAGCCGUCAUUUCAACGUCUCGUUUCAGUAUAGACCCGAUAUAGCCGGGCUGUGCCUAGCCCACUUCUAGCCCAAUUAAACUUUAAUUUGGUUACAUGUGGUUUUUGACAAAAUAAUUUGUGAGAUGGAUGCUAUUUUAUCAUGUAAGCAAAGUUAACAGCGAUUACAAGGUAUUUCUUUUCAUUUCUUUAAAGUGUUUUAUGCAUCGUCUGUACGUAGUCAUAAUUUAGCUCAUAAAUAGACCGACUACGAAUAAACCACGUUUAGCCCAGAAAUAACCAUGAAUUUAAUUACAUGUUGUUUUGCCAAAAUUAUUUGUGAGAUGUAUGAUAUUUAAUAAUGUAAACAAAGUUCAAAGCAAUUAAUGUAUUUUGUUUCAUUUAUUUAAAGUGUUUCAUGCACCGUCUGUACUAGCCACUAUUUAGCUUACAAAUAGACCGACUACGAAUAACCCACGUUUAGCCCAGAAAUAACCAUUAAUUUAAUUACAUGUUGUUUUGCCAAAAUGAUUUGUGAGAUGUAUGAUAUUUAAUCAUGUAAACAAAGUUCAAAGCGAUUAAGGUAUUUUGUUUCAUUUCUUUAAAGUGUUUUAUACACCGUCUGUACUAGCCACUAUUUAGCUUACAAAUAGACCGACUACGAAUAACCCACGUUUAGCCCAGAAAUAACCAUUAAUUUAAUUACAUGUGGUUUUUGCCAAAAUAACUUGUGAGAUGUAUGGUAUGUCAUUGUAAGCAAAGUUAACAGCGAUUACAAUGUUUAAUUUCUUUAAGUGUUUUAUGCACCGUCAUACAUAACCACUAUUUAGCUCAUAAAUAGACCGACUACGAACAAACCAUGUUUAGCCCAAAAUAACCUUGAAUUUAAUAAAAUUUUGUUUUUGCCAAAAUAACUUGCAAGAAUUAUGAUAUUUUAUCAGGCAUGCAAAGACACCAGUGAAAUAAGAUGUUUGGUUUUAUUUAUCUUAUCUGAAUAUCUGCUGUCACGCAUAACAUUCAUUAUUUGACCGUAUUUCAAAGAUAAACAAAAUCCAGUUACAACUCCGAACCGCUAGAUGGCAGCAGUACACAAACACGGGGCCAAAUCUCACGAGAAAGAUUUCCGCUUUUUGAAAAGCAACAACAUCAGCGAGCAGCCACGAGGAAAGUAUGUACCACACUUGUUUGGUCUUGUGUCAAAGCUGUGCGAAACUGGAGGGAGAAACUUGAGAGACCGUGCCGGAAGAAUGCUGGACAGAGUUCACUAAAAUUCAUUAAUUUCAAAGUUCAACAUGAAUUGUGGUGGUCCACUGCAGAAGCAAGCAUUUGAAAAAACAUCAGUUCUCAGUUAUUAAAGAUGCUGUGUUGAACAACUUCCCAGCAGCAACAGAACUGGAAGUGAAGGAUGCAAUGGGGGCAUUUCAAACAGGCACCAGGGAGCACGGGGGGGGGGUAUAGAAAUUAGUACAAUUAAUAAGUUGACG